rnacentral:rRNA from 1 species
GGGCCCGCACAAGCGGUGGAGCAUGUGGUUUAAUUCGAUGAUACGCGAGGAACCUUACCAGGGCUUAAAUGUAGAACGACCGAUUUGGAAACAAGUCUUCUCUUUGAGCGGUCUACAAGGUGCUGCAUGGUUGUCGUCAGCUCGUGCCGUGAGGUGUCGGGUUAAGUCCCUUAACGAGCGCAACCCCUAUCUCUAGUUGCCAGCGGAUAAUGCCGGGGACUCUAGAGAAACUGCCCGUGCAAACGGUGAGGAAGGUGGGGAUGACGUCAAAUCAUCACGGCCCUUACGUCCUGGGCUACACACGUGCUACAAUGGUCGGUACAGAGGGCAGCUACCACGUGAGUGGAUGCAAAUCUCGAAAGCCGAUCUCAGUUCGGAUCGGAGUCUGCAACUCGACUCCGUGAAGCUGGAAUC